rnacentral:rRNA from 1 species
CCUACGGGUGGCAGCAGUGAGGAAUAUUGGUCAAUGGGCGAGAGACUGAACCAGCCAAGUCGCGUGAAGGAUGACGGCCCUACGGGUUGUAAACUUCUUUUGUCAGGGAGCAAUUGAGUCCACGUGUGGUCUUAGCGAGAGUACCUGAAGAAAAAGCAUCGGCUAACUCCGUGCCAGCAGCCGCGGUAAUACGGAGGAUGCGAGCGUUAUCCGGAUUUAUUGGGUUUAAAGGGUGCGUAGGCGGAAGGUUAAGUCAGCGGUCAAAUGUCGGUGCUCAACACCGGCCUGCCGUUGAAACUGGUCUUCUUGAGUGAGCGAGAAGUAUGCGGAAUGCGUGGUGUAGCGGUGAAAUGCAUAGAUAUCACGCAGAACUCCGAUUGCGAAGGCAGCAUACCGGCGCUCAACUGACGCUGAGGCACGAAAGCGUGGGGAUCGAACAGGAUUAGAUACCCUGGUAGUC